AGUUUUAAUUAGUCCAUUUUACUGAAAACAGGACUUAAAUAUUCAGAUAAAUCACUCCAGUGAAAACCUAAGUAUGAAAACUACAUUGCUCUCCUUCAGUUAGAUCCCCCUAAAUCUGAACACAAUUUUCCUUUAUGUUCUUGACUCAACACUGGUGUGUUCCUUGUAAAUGAACAUUUUUAAUGGACAUGAUACAUUAAUGAUUGACAAGUAGUUUUUUCAGUUUCCUGAAUCACUAUAAUCUAGAAACUGAAUCAUGACACAAUAUAU